rnacentral:lncRNA from 1 species
UUUUCGUCAUUUUUCUUUGAAAAUACCGAAACUCGCCAAAAAUAUGGUAUAAAAGCUAAAUAUAUUCAUACAUACUUUAAAUCAAAUAACUGAAGAAUAAAAUUACUUUUACAAUGACACGUGGGCCCCCAACUAACUAAGAAGAUGUAGGGCUACGAACCCUUACUUUCUAGGAUGCAACUCCGAGAUUAAUUCUCGUUUUAAUCAACUAUCAACAAACUGUCCUAAGCCUAAAAAAUGGAUAGGAAGAGGGGUGAGAUUAUGAUUACAUAAUCUCAGUGAGUAAACAGAUACCAUCUAAAGUAUCUAAAGCUGAAUAAAUGGAGACAAUAAAAUAUCCCAUCUCAAUAUGCAUUUCAUAACUUAGAAAUUUAUUCCAUCCC